UACGUAGGGUGCAAGCGUUGUCCGGAAUUACUGGGCGUAAAGAGCUCGUAGGUGGUUUGUCGCGUUGUUCGUGAAAACUCACAACUCAAUUGUGGGCGUGCGGGCGAUACGGGCAGACUGGAGUACUGCAGGGGAGACUGGAAUUCCUGGUGUAGCGGUGGAAUGCGCAGAGUAUCAGGAGGAACACCGGUGGCGAAGGCGGGUCUCUGGGCAGUGAACUGACGCUGGAGGAGCGAAA
rnacentral:rRNA from 1 species